rnacentral:rRNA from 1 species
GACAGAGGGUGCGAACGUUGUUCGGAAUUACUGGGCGUAAAGCGCGUGUAGGCGGCCACGCAAGUCGGGUGUGAAAGCCCCGGGCUCAACCUGGGAAUUGCAUUCGAGACUGAAUAGCUAGGGUACGGUAGAGGGAAGUGGAAUUUCCGGUGUAGCGGUGAAAUGCGUAGAUAUCGGAAGGAACAUCAGUGGCGAAAGCGACUUCCUGGACCAGUACCGACGUUCAGGCACGAAAGCGUGGGGAGCAAACAGG